rnacentral:lncRNA from 1 species
AUGCGUAUAGAUAUAAGCAAUAUAUAUACAUAUAUUAUUUUUUCUACCUCAUAUAUAAAUAUAGAUAUAGAGUGUCGUGAUUGGGAUUCCCAGGGGGUAUUUUUGUGGAACUUCAGAGCAAAAGUGGCUGACACUUGUUCUUUGUUGCCCUUGGGCUACCGGUUUGAUCAGCGACUGAACGGAUUUAUCCGUGUCAGCAGAAGGAGUUUUCCACUCUUGUCUAAGAAGCAGCCGCCUCUACACAGACUGAGGUUUCGGAGAUGCUCAAAGAUGACGCCUCACGGGAGUGGAGACGAUGCUGUCGCCCUGCAACUCCCUCCAGGACCCCAUGGCCCCAGCCCCUCUGCAGCUCCCUCCUGCAUCAGUGCAAGAGGGCACAGGCUUCCGAAGCUGGCGUCAGGGGGGAAUUGUUCUUCUCAUGGCACAUCUCAGCCAGCUGGGUAA